rnacentral:rRNA from 1 species
GACGAACGCUGGCGGCGUGCUUAACACAUGCAAGUCGAGCGGAAAGGCCCUUCGGGGUACUCGAGCGGCGAACGGGUGAGUAACACGUGAGUAACCUGCCCCUAGCUCUGGGAUAAGCCCGGGAAACUGGGUCUAAUACCGGAUAUCACACACUUUUGCAUGAUGGGGUGUUGAAAGUUUUUCGGGUGGGGAUGGGCUCGCGGCCUAUCAGCUUGUUGGUGGGGUGAUGGCCUACCAAGGCGACGACGGGUAGCCGGCCUGAGAGGGCGACCGGCCACACUGGGACUGAGACACGGCCCAGACUCCUACGGGAGGCAGCAGUGGGGAAUAUUGCGCAAUGGGCGGAAGCCUGACGCAGCGACGCCGCGUGGGGGAUGAAGGCCUUCGGGUUGUAAACCUCUUUCACCACCGACGAAGCUAACGUGACGGUAGGUGGGGAAGAAGCGCCGGCUAACUACGUGCCAGCAGCCGCCGCCGUAA